rnacentral:lncRNA from 1 species
UUGGCAUCAAAAACACUCGAACCCGUCUUUGGUUUACGUUUCAAACUCGAGCACAAGAUCAGUACCUUUAACAGACACGUCAGCGUCCCCUCAUUCCAAUAUUCCUCCUGACAGCUACGUGACAUUUCUGCUCCAAACGCAGAGACGCCAUUAAAGCGCCGGCAGACUCCCCGCUCGAGCUUGCUUCACGUCUCAAUCGUUCCUGAUCUCAUUCUUUGUGUCUUAUUUAUGGACUGUCUAGUUACUUCCUUACUGAGGGGGCUGUGGGAGUUUCAUUACAGAUCCCUCUUUAAUUUCAGCGAUGAUCUGCAUGCUUCAUUGGACACCCAUAAGGAAAGCCGCAGCAGUGGUAGCGGAGAUGAGCUUUUCGAGAGAGUAAUAGUUUUAUUGCUUUUUUUUCCCCCUCCUGCCUGACAACAAUCUGCAACCAAUUUAGCCCGCGUUGACAAAGCGUUCACAACGCACACGCGGCGUACAGCAGCUCGUUGAACAUCUCUUUUCUCCAGGAAGGAGUCCCUCGUGGGCUUUCUGAGCGCGCACGCAAACUGGAGGGCACUUUAAUUAAAAUACUACUGGUUGCUGUCACAGUGGCCUGUAACAGUCGUUUAAGAGAGACGUUAGUUCAGUUAAUUAUUCUGUUAAUUGGACUCUGCUCUUGAUAGAGAACGUUCAGGUGUAGAAGCGGGCGGGUUCCUCUUUGUGUGUUUGCGCUCUAAUUGCCGCUGAGGUAAUUGAUGGGACAGUACGGCCAUUUAAGAGGCCACCACCUAAAGUCGUGCUCUGAAAGGUAAUGUGGUUAAACAGGAUACACUUUUCCACAGAUGGUCCGCAGUCUGUUCUCAGGUAAUUGGUCGAGACCCAGAAUUGAGGUUCUGAACCGUUGCCAGUGUGUCGUGGAUGUCCUUUGCUGCACCUUAAAGCUCCUGUAAGGAGUUUUUAGCUGGUUAUGAAUCAGAUUUGAGUCAACAGUCAGUCCGUUUACAUGACACUCGAGAAAACCGAAUUAUCACCUUACUCCGAUUAAGACCGGACAACUGAAGUCCAAACCCUAACUCUGAUUAAGACACCCAGAUAAUGAGAUUGGAAUUUGAUUUUCUCGAGCAUGUAACCGGCAUAGUCAGAAAUGGACAUUUUAAAGUUUACAGACGGUCGCAAAACAAGGAACGGAGACAUCUUUAAAAAUGGUCCGGAAACAGCGCCGCCGACCUAGUUUUGGGGAGGAGGACACGUUUACGUCAAUAAUUCGAUUUUCUCAGCUGCAUGUAAACGAGGACAAGAAGAGAAGUCUGACUCAGUGAAAAAAAACGAAUUAUGAGCUUAGUCUGAUGAAGCUGUGCAUGUAAACGCACCAAGGGACAACUUUCCAGGACCUUUAAAAGCAAAUGAACCAUCAGCGACAAGUCAGACUAUUUCUACUUUGUUUUCUUUGAAUGUCUUUGGACAGAAGAAGUGGACAAAACCUCAUCUGUGUUGAAUUUGUGUUGAAAAUGCACCUGUAGAGGUCCUCUGGUCUCUUUGUAAAGUUCCUGUGGUUGAUAUAAAAACACAGAGGGUCAUUUGCAAGUUCUGCCUUCUAAGAUGUUAUCAUGCAAACAUUUCCUUUUUAGCACCCAACUGAAACUGAACCGGACUGAAUCCAGCAUCUGUGGAGGCAUACAGCUGGUGUGGUUUCAACAGCCUCUAGAUCUGACUUUCUCAGACGACUCAGUGCUAAUACUUGCAGUGAAAUGUUGACUUAACACUUUUGUUUUGUCUCCUUGUAAAGGAGAGGCUGACACAGAGUGACUUCAGCCUCAUUUUGUAAGUUUUGUUUUUAGACCACAUAUCUCAGGGGAAUAGAGAUCAUUCACAGACAGACUCGGGUGCUGAAAGCCCAGUUUGAUUCACCAAACAGAACCCUGUCAGUCUCUCACUCCUGUAAAGUUUCUUUGAUUUUAGUCCAAACUUUGAGUCCUUUCGCUGACCCAAGGAAGAAUAAUAUUCAAGCUUUGAUUUAAAAUCUUGACAGGAAAAGUCGAAGCUCUCUUAUCUUACUGCGGAAAGAAAGAGUGAGAGGAGGAAAGUCUGUAAGAGUUUCCUUAACAUGGUGAUUAUUUAGGUGUCCAAGAUGCUCUAAUGAAGUUUGGAAAUAUUGGAAAUAUUAACAAGAGAAACUCGCCCUUCAUCUUUUCCUUUUAAGGGAGUAAAGUUAUUUUUCUGUCCUCUGAAAAAUGGAAAAGUGAAAGGGUAGAGCAAACAUACAGGUCACUACUUCUUUGCUUUCCAUUUGAGGUUGUUCGAGUGUCUUUAUAUCCCGAGCCAAUCAGAGAUUUAAGGAGAAAAACCCUAAAACUUGAGAACGUGUCCUUUAAUGGUCUGAGAACAUGGACCAAGUCUUCAUUGUAACUCUGAUGAAAUUCAUAUCAAACCGAGAUGUGCGGGUUCACCAUCGCCUCGUGGAUUUCUAAUCUUGUAAAGGGCAGCUGAAUUAAUUCUGCCUGACUCAUGAAAAAAGGGAGAGGAAAUGGAAAUGAUUAUUGUAGUCCUGGCCGGCUCCAAUCAGAACUCUGUUGGCGCUGCGGUAACAAGUGGAGCCUGCCCCACGGUACCUGGCCCACAUCAAAGCUGAGGGGGAGCACUCAGACAAGACGCUGUCAGCUUUUCACGAGGCACUGAAGAUUCACAGGCGUCAAUCUUUCUCCUCCUCUCC